CCUAACACAUGCAAGUCGAACGGUAACAUGGAUUGCUUGCAAUCUGAUGACGAGUGGCGCACGGGUGCGUAACGCGUAUGCAAUCUACCUUUUACAGGAGAAUAGCCCAGAGAAAUUUGGAAUAAUGCUCCAUAAUAUCAUUUAUCAGCAUUGGUUUAUGAUUAAAGCUCCGGCGGUAAAAGAUGAGCAUGCGUUCUAUUAGCUAGUAGGUGAGGUAACGGCUCACCUAGGCUACGAUAGAUAGGGGCCCUGAGAGGGGGAUCCCCCACACUGGUACUGAGACACGGACCAGACUCCUACGGGAGGCAGCAGUGAGGAAUAUUGGACAAUGGAGGAAACUCUGAUCCAGCCAUGCCGCGUGCAGGAUGACUGCCCUAUGGGUUGUAAACUGCUUCUAUAUAGGAAGAAACACUCCCACGUGUGGGGGCUUGACGGUACUAUAUGAAUAAGGAUCGGCUAACUCCGUGCCAGCAGCCGUGGUAAUACGGAGGAUCCAAGCGUUAUCCGGAAUCAUUGGGUUUAAAGGGUCCGCAGGCGGCCUGUUAAGUCAGAGGUGAAAUCCUACAGCUCAACUGUAGAACUGCCUUUGAUACUGAUAGGCUUGAGUUAUUGUGAAGUGGUUAGAAUGUGUGGUGUAGCGGUGAAAUGCUUAGAUAUCACACAGAAUACCCAUUGCGAAGGCAGAUCACUAACAAUAUACUGACGCUCAUGGACGAAAGCGUGGGGAG
rnacentral:rRNA from 1 species